rnacentral:misc_RNA from 1 species
AAGCAGAAAAUGCCAGUCUCAUUUGGCCCAAAAAAGAACAGAAUGUAUUGGAGAAUCAUGUGUAGGCCACCUAGUAAUUUGUAAACCAGCAAACAUGUCAAACACAUGGAUCAUUGUUGCAGCAGGUGCUAAAAUCUUCCCAUGGUGAUUGAAGCAUAAGGAAGUAAUUGCAGGUGGAUCUUCACCAAGAGGAAGAAAAGGUGUUGAUUGUAUUUUACCGGUGCAAAAUGAUUCGUUUUUAUGCGUGUUGUGGGGUUGUAAAAUAUGCUAGGAAGGUGUUUGAUGAAAUCACUGAAAGGGAUUUGGUGUCCUGAAAUUCAAUUAUUAAUUAGCAUCGGUGAGUUGGGUAUUGCUCAUGACAUUUUUUGAUAUAAUGCAUAAGAAAAAUGCUAUUUCAAGGAAUACCAUGAUUAGUGGAUACUUGAGAUUAAUAACCCUGGUAUUGGGGAGUGGUGACAAAGGACUGAUUGAGGAGGUGGGUCAAGAUUGAGAAGACCAUAGGUGGUGGAGGUGAAGAAGAUAAUGCGGUAACUCAGUGCUAAGCUGCUGAAUUGAGUGAAGUCAUCACGGAAUUUCCGCUGAUUUUUAACGGAUUAGUUGACGGUAGGGUGUGAUUGUAUCAUUGUCAAUAGUGUAGGAUAUAAUUGUUAAAAUUUUUAGUUUAGGUGUGAAAUUGUAAAAAUAAGCAAAGUUCCAAGAUUUUUUUGGACAUUUCCCCUUUAAUUAAUAAAAUUUGCAUAUAAAUAUGUAAUAAUUUUAAUGAUAAUUGUGAAUUAAUAAAAAAAUAUAUUUAAUAUAAUCAGUCAAGAUUAUAAAAAAAAUUUAUGUUUAAUAGCAUGAGUUAAGGAGGGUAAUGAGAUUUGGAAUUGAGGGAUUCAGCUACUAUAUUACAGAAACAUGAAUUGGUCACCACCGACAAAGCCAACCAUGCGUUGGGGUUUGGCGCAGACGCUAUCAAGAAUGUGGCUUCUCUCACUGUCAAAUAUAAAUGAGCUAAAAACAUGGACAAGUAGAUGUAGCUCCAAGUUCCAAUGACCCCAAAUUCCAAAAUGAAUCACAAUUACCCAAAAAAUGGGUCCGAUUUUUCUCUAACUCUUUAAAAGUGAAGGAAUAACAAUCACACCAUCAAAUUGCUUUAGACUGGAUUUUUUUUUUUAUUUUUUUUUUU